UCAUCGUCAUCGAAAGCCUGUGGUUGGCC
rnacentral:sRNA from 1 species